rnacentral:rRNA from 1 species
CCUACGGGGGGCAGCAGUAGGGAAUAUUCCACAAUGGGCGAAAGCCUGAUGGAGCAACGCCGCGUGGGUGAAGAAGGUCUUCGGAUCGUAAAACCCUGUUGUUAGAGAAGAAAGUGCGUGAGAGUAACUGUUCACGUUUCGACGGUAUCUAACCAGAAAGCCACGGCUAACUACGCGCCAGCAGCCGCGGUAAUACGUAGGUGGCAAGCGUUAUCCGGAUUGAUUGGGCGUAAGGGGAACGCAGGCGGUCUUUUAAGUCUGAUGUGAAAGCCUUCGGCUUAACCGGAGUAGUGCAUUGGAAACUGGCAGACUUGAGUGCAGAAGAGGAGAGUGGAACUCCAUGUGUAGCGGUGAAAUGCGUAGAUAUAUGGAAGAACACCAGUGGCGAAGGCGGCUCUCUGGUCUGUAACUGACGCUGAGGUUCGAAAGCGUGGGUAGCAAACAGGAUUAGAUACCCCAGUAGUC